rfam:Novosphingobium sp. B1 genome assembly, contig: Ga0157230_104
CCAGGGGGCCGGGCAGCCGCGUGAUCGCAAGAUCCCGAGGAAAGUCCGGGCUCCACGAAACAAGGGUGGCGGGUAACGCCCGCCGGGCCUGACGCCGCAAGGUGGAGGGUCAAGGGAAAGUGCCACAGAGAGCAGACCGCUAGUCCGCAAGGACGAGUAAGGGUGAAAGGGUGCGGCAAGAGCGCACCGCGCGACCGGCAACGGAAGCGGCACGGCAAACCCCACCCGGAGCAAGAUCGAAUAGGGACUGCGCGCUCUUCGGAGCAGGCCUGUUUCGGGCCAGCAGUCCGGGUUGAUUGCUUGAGCGUUCCGGCAACGGUCCGCCUAGAGGAAUGGCUGCCAGCGGCGAUACGGUGCCCGCCAAGAGCAAUCUUGGGCAUACCGUCGGCGCUACAGAACCCGGCUUACAGGCCCCCUGGCGCA